rnacentral:rRNA from 1 species
UACGGGGGGGCAAGCGUUGUUCGGAAUUACUGGGCGUAAAGGGUUCGUAGGUGGCUUGCUUAGUCAGACGUGAAAUCCCUCAGCUUAACUGGGGAACUGCCUUUGAUACUGGCGAUCUCGAGUCCGGGAGAGGUGAGUGGGAACUGCGAGUGUAGAGGUGAAAUUCGUAGAUAUUCGCAAGAACACCAGUGGCGAAGGCGGCUCACUGGCCCGAUACUGACGCUGAGGCACGGAAAGCGUGGGGGAGCAAACAGGG